CCUGCCCACUGGGUGAAACUGCAAGUCGAGAGCGUGGGAAACCAGCAAGUUGAGAGAGGAUCCAGAAGUAACCCCUUCUAAAACGGGAAAGAUGCCUUCCGAAAGACCGGAUGGCCUGGUACUGGUCUUCUCUAGACUGAAGGUCCUCCACCAGGUCUCCUGCUGCUGCUACCUAAGAAAGAAAUCUCACAAGGGUGUUAAAAGCACUUGGCCCUAAAGAGAAAACACUAGGAGGAUGGGAACCAGGGACAGAGAAGCUACUUGCUCUGCAGCUGUUUGGGCCAAUGAUCCAAUGGCCCCAUCUAGACUGGAGACACCAACUCAUGACUCAGCUGGCCUUGUGGCCCACACCCAGAAGUGGACUCAGUGCAUGAGGACUAUUUUCCACACUCCUAUGAUAGCAUCCCCAACCAAUCAGCAGGACCAUUUCCUAGCCCCUUGCCCACCAAACUAUCUUUUAAAAAACCUGGCUGGGCGCAGUGGCUCACACCUGCAAUCCCAGCACUUUGGGAGUCUGAGG
rnacentral:lncRNA from 1 species